rnacentral:pre_miRNA from 1 species
GAGACACCCCUAUGGAGAAAGACUUGCUUUGGUGGGGCUUUGGUGUUCACUGAGUCUGUCCCUUGAAUGUGUCACU